rnacentral:rRNA from 1 species
GACGAACGCUGGCGGCGUGCUUAACACAUGCAAGUCGAACGGUGAAGGGACCGGUUUUUGCUGGUUCUGGAUGAGUGGCGAACGGGUGAGUAACACGUGAGUAACUUGCCCCCUUCUUCUGGAUAACCGCAUGAAAGUGUGGCUAAUACGGGAUAUUCUGCGCCUGCUGCAUGGUGGGUGUGGGAAAGAUAUUGUUUCGGUGGGGGAUGGGCUCGCGGCCUAUCAGCUUGUUGGUGGGGUGAUGGCCUACCAAGGCGGUGACGGGUAGCCGGCCUGAGAGGGUGGACGGUCACACUGGGACUGAGACACGGCCCAGACUCCUACGGGAGGCAGCAGUGGGGAAUAUUGCACAAUGGGCGCAAGCCUGAUGCAGCGACGCCGCGUGAGGGAUGGAGGCCUGCGGGUUGUAAACCUCUUUCGCCAGUGAAGCAGGCCUGUCCCUUUUGUGGGUGGGUUGACGGUAGCUGGAUAAGAAGCGCCGGCUAACUACGUG